UAAGAAGACACCGGAUGAAUACCAGAGGGCGUAGCAGGUGCAGAUGUGACAGUGAGAAUCUCCUCAUAGUAAACAUUACACAACCAUUGAUGUCCAAAUUCCCGACCUACAGUUUGCAAUGCUUCCACAGAGGGAAAUAGAGGCUGUGAGAACAUCCAUGUAGCUUCAGGCUAUUUCGGUGUGAAAGAGAGGGAAAUUGUUGGGACCUGGCAGGGAAAACAUCUAAUCACAGUCCUCAGAUACGAAAUGCUGUGAAACCCUGUGUUUGCAGAUGAAGAGAGAGGUCCCAAUGAAUGUCCAAAGAGACCAAUGGUGCAUUUCCAUACAGGAUUUACCCCACUGUUUCACACAGAACGCUCAGACUUUUCUGUUUCCAUCUCCGCUGGACAUGCUCUCACGAGGGGCCAAAGCCAGGCCACAAGGACUUUUCAGCUGUCAUUUACAUAACAAUGGCUAACUGUGAACUUGAACUUCUCUCAAUUGCAACUUAGUAUACCAGCGGUAUUUGAUCAAUUGAAUCAGGUGUGUUACUGCUGGGCUGAAAAAGAAACAAUUGUAAUAGGUUUAUACAUUGUUUGUGAUGUAUCUUCAACUGUUUUUUGUAUACAACAUUUGCUAACAUAGGUAGGCCUACCUAUAUGCCAUGGGUUGUAUGUGUAGGCCUACAUAUGUUAGCACAUGUAUACAAAAUAAAACUGUUUAACAUCACACACAAUGUAUGAACCUAUUAUAAUUGGAGCAGGCCAACUCUGCUGGAGGUCUGCUGAGUGUUCUGGGAUCUGUUUCAGCCCAGCAAUAAUACACCUGAUUCAACUUAUCAAAGUCUUUAGCUUCAGUAAUAAUUGCCUACUUUUUACCACCCAAUUAUCUAUAGUUGUUUAGACAGAUGCAUAAUCUUUACAUACUAGUUUUUAUUUGUACAUUUUGUAGUGAUGAUUAUUUGAAGUGAAGUGUUUAAACUGAAAGUGUCAAUGUCGAUUAAUCACAUAUCUCAAUCCUGCAAUAAAGAAGGGAAGGGUUGUGU